rnacentral:rRNA from 1 species
CAGCAGCCGCGGUAAUACGAAGGGGGCUAGCGUUGUUCGGAUUUACUGGGCGUAAAGGGCGCGUAGGCGGACUGAUAAGUCAGGGGUGAAAUCCCAAGGCUCAACCCUGGAACUGCCUUUGAUACUGUUUGUCUUGAGUUCGAGAGAGGUAAGUGGAACUGCGAGUGUAGAGGUGAAAUUCGUAGAUAUUCGCAAGAACACCAGUGGCGAAGGCGGCUUACUGGCUCGAAACUGACGCUGAGGCGCGAAAGCGUGGGGAGCAAACAGGAUUAGAUACCCGAGUAGUCCCUGUCUCUUAUAC